GUUGAAGAACGUAGCGAAAUGCGAUAAGUAGUGUGAAUUGCAGAAUUCAGUGAAUCAUCGAAUCUUUGAACGCACAUUGCGCCCCUUGGUAUUCCAUGGGGCAUGCCUGUUCGAGCGUCAUUUGUACCUUCAAGCUUUGCUUGGUGUUGGGUGUUUGUCUCGCCUUUGCGUGUAGACUCGCCUUAAAAUAAUUGGCAGCCGGCGUAUUGAUUUCGGAGCGCAGUACAUCUCGCGCUUUGCACUCAUAACGACAGCGUCCAAAAGUACAUUUUACACUCUUGACCUCGGAUCAGGUAGGGAUACCCGCUGAACUUAAGCAUAUCAAUAAGCGGAGGA
rnacentral:misc_RNA from 1 species